GAUGGAUGCCCGCUGUUUGCGAUAUACUGUGAGCGGCCAAGAGAAAUCGUUAAGCAUCCCACUGGGGAGUACGCCGGCAACGGUGAAACUCAAAGGAAUUGACGGGGGCCCGCACAAGCGGAGGAACAUGUGGUUUAAUUCGAUGAUACGCGAGGAACCUUACCCCGGGCUUAGAACUGCAGGAGAACGAUACAGAGAUGUUGAGGCCCUUUCGGGGCUCCUGUGGAGGUGCAACUGUAUGGUCGUCAGCUCGUGCCGUGAGGUGUCGGCUUAAGUGCCAUAACGAGCGCAACCCUUUUCGUCAGUUGCCAUCAGGUAAUGCUGGGCACUACUGGCGAUACUGCCACCGUAAGGUGUGAGGAAGGUGGGGAUGACGUCAAAUCAGCACGGCCCUUACGUCCGGGGCUACACACGUGUUACAAUGGGGAGUACAGAGAGUCAACCGCCGGCAACGUCGGUUUAAUCAAGAAAGCUCUCCUCAGUUGCGGAUUGGGGUCUGCAACCCGACCCCAUGAAGCUGGAUUCGCUAGUAAUCGCGCAUCAGCCAUGGCGCGGUAUUUCGUUCCCGGGCCUUGUACACA
rnacentral:rRNA from 1 species